UUUGUGAACUUAUACCUUACUGUUGCCUCGGCGCAGGCCGGCCUCUUAGCUGAGGCCCCCCGGAGACGGGGAGCAGCCCGCCGGCGGCCAACCAAACUCUUGUUUCUACAGUGAAUCUCUGAGUAAAAAACAUAAAUGAAUCAAAACUUUCAACAACGGAUCUCUUGGUUCUGGCAUCGAUGAAGAACGCAGCGAAAUGCGAUAAGUAAUGUGAAUUGCAGAAUUCAGUGAAUCAUCGAAUCUUUGAACGCACAUUGCGCCCUCUGGUAUUCCGGAGGGCAUGCCUGUUCGAGCGUCAUUUCAACCCUCAAGCCUGGCUUGGUGUUGGGGCACUGCUUCGAGAGAAGCAGGCCCUGAAAUCUAGUGGCGAGCUCGCUAGGACCCCGAGCGUAGUAGUUAUAUCUCGUUCUGGAAGGCCCUGGCGGUGCCCUGCCGUUAAACCCCCAACUUCUGAAAUUUUGACCUCGGAUCAGGUAGGAAUACCCGCUGAACUUAAGCAUAUCAA
rnacentral:rRNA from 1 species